ACUCCCGCUGUUCGGCGCCACGACUAUAAUAAUUCAAUUAAGUAACUCUUUUCUAUUUUUAGUGAUAAAUGUUGACUCCUGGCCGAGUCUUAUUAAUUGUUAUUCCCUACCCAAGUAUACAAUUGAAGAGUCAUUUAUAAAUGAAGAGACUCUGUGAUGAAUGCUUGUGCUACUCCAGGCUGCGUGAUAAGAAUUUGCAUCACAUCCAAGGUUACACUAUACGUUUUUAUUUUUGCAGGUUGUUUUGCAGCAUCAUCCGAGAAGUAUGGAGAGCUGAUGAUUGCCAUUACACCACCCGGGAAGAAGACGUGGGCCGCAAUGGUAUCCCGGUCGCAGAAAUCUGGGAUUGUUGCCAAGAGGUAGUUCGAUUACUUUACCAGUGGUUAUACCCAGUCCAGACUCGACGUUUAUUGGAGUUCCAUGGUUCUUGGAUCAGAGCGAGGUCGAAUUUGGUUUCAUCGAACAUUCUUGCGGAAUCGGUUCACCCCACUGCCACCUGGCUUGAGCCCUUUAGGUCCGCCCCCUCUGGGCGGUGAACGUGGUGGUUACUUUAGAAGGCGGCUGUUAUCGCAUAUCCUCAGCUUUUUGCUCUUGGGACGCCUUAGUCUUCUCGGACGAAACCGCACCUUACGGAAGUCAAAGAACAGUUUGAAGUUCAUUGACCUCAGCGUCUCCAUAGAUGCCUCGUCGACAGAAAAGACCGGGGUUUGAACCGGUCCCGAACACUCACGAUGUAGUACGAUCCGAUAUGUAUCCGAUCGAUCCUAAUGAAUUGGAUAUUGAUAUUGU
rnacentral:misc_RNA from 1 species